rnacentral:rRNA from 1 species
UACAGAGGUGCCGAGCGUUAGGCGGAAUCACUGGGCUUAAAGCGCGUGUAGGCGGGUCGUUAAGUGUCCGAGUGAAAUCCCACGGCUCAACCGUGGAACUGCCGGGCAUACUGGCGAUCUUGAGGCAUUCAGGGGCGAGCGGAACAAAUGGUGGAGCGGUGAAAUGCGUAGAUAUCAUUUGGAACGCCAAUGGUGAAAACAGCUCGCUGGGAAUGAUCUGACGCUGAGACGCGAAAGCCAGGGGAGCGAACGGG